rnacentral:misc_RNA from 1 species
AAGACUAUAGACCUGCGGAGUACCUGCGGAAGGAUCAUUACAGAGUUGCAAAACUCCAAACCAUUGUGAACUUACCUUUGCCGUUGCUUCGGCGGGCGGCCCGGGUCCCGACCCGGCGCCCCCCGGCCCCGUCAGGGGCGCCCGCCGGAGGUAAACCAAACUCUUGAAUUGUAUGGCCUCUCUGAGUCUUCUGUACUGAAUAAGUCAAAACUUUCAGCAAUGGAUCUCUAGAUCGGAAGA